CAGUAUACGGUCUUUUCCAAGAGCCAACUACUCAAUCUGGUUCUGCAGCUGCAGGAUUCUUCUCCAUACUCAGGAGAAGCCUGAAUUACCUUCAAAUUAGAGUAGUCCUUGGAGUGCUGGAGUUGCUUUCCUGGAUGGAAAGGACAAGGCGCUUGCUAUUUUAUUUGAGAUGGUAAACAAUCUGCAUGUGGCCGCACUGCAGUUUGUUAAAGGACGUUAUUUAACUUCUUGACAGUAGAUCUUGUUGCAUUAGUC